UCCAAUAGCACAAAUUUGAAUUUGAAAACUCGUUGAUCAUCAAUUUCUUAACCAAGAAUGGCUUCUUACCACAAGUUGUUGGUGAUCUUCCUUAUCGUUGUUGGAUCUGUUGCUGGCAGCGGCCAAGCUUUGACACACCGUCACCUUCUGUUAUCACCAUCUCCAGGUUCAGAUUCACCCCGAAGAUCAAAAUUUCCCUUUCCAAAAUUAAUGGGAGGGGGUUUGACAGAACAUGGUCCGUCCCAUGCCAGAACCGUCACUUCCCAGCCCGGAAAUCCAAUACUUCCAGACUUUCCAAAUCCAGUGACUUCACCGGGAAAUCCAAUUGUUCCAUACUUUCCAAGUCCAGUGAUCCCACCCGGAAUUCCCCCUAUUCCAUACCUUCCAAGUCCAGUUAUUCCUGCACCAGGAAAUCCAAUUAUUCCAUACUUUCCAAGCCCAGUAAUCCAACCUGGAAAUCCAAUCAUUCCGUACUUCCCAAGCCCGGUGAUCCAACCCGGAAAUCCAACUGUUCCAUACUUUCCAAGUCCAGUUUUCCCACCUCCUCCAGCUGCUACUUCCACCAUUAGCCCUUGAAAUCAAUUUGCAGAAGUACCAUUGGACUUCUCACGUUUCCAUGUUGUGUACGUAGCUCAAUUUUAGCAUGAAGGCUAUAUCAGUUUUCUUGCAUAUUUUGUCAUGAUGUAGGCAAGUCCCUGAUGAAGGGUUGUCCCUAUGCUUUGCAGAAUUCUUAGGUGUUGCUUCGAUAUCAUUCAGAAGCAGACUAAAUUUGAAAUCAUAUCUUUGGUUAGCUUCCAUUCAAGUGCGAAGUUUAUGCAUCAAUAUCCCUAAACUUGAACUACUUUCUCGCCAUGGGGUUGUUUGUUUAUAAAUUGUGUGGAUCAACUUUUUUCUCAUAUAAUAGAUCACUUGAAUCAUGUUAAUCAGUAAUGUGGAUUACUCUGCAGUCUGCACUAGAUGACCAACAACUUUGUUUCGGAGGAGCUGUGUAGAUGUUAAGGGCUGUAUGAAAGAAAUUCUCAUUGAUAUCUUUAUUCCAGAAAAACUGAACGGCAGUCUCCAACCUGAGAAAAGUUC
rnacentral:lncRNA from 1 species